CGGACGGGAGCCGCUCCCGGGCGGCACACAGCCGCGUCCCUACUCCCCUCCCCGCAGGCAGCCUGUGCCUUUUCUCCAAACGAAGACAGUACUUUGAAAAUUCUUUCAAUGGAUUUUUUUUUCCUUGAAAGAUCGUACUGGGGGAAAAUGAUACUUCCAUUAGUUACAUAUUCUCCAAUCGCAUCCUCGCACCCCCCUCGUUUUAAGAUCGCUCCCUUAGGCAGGCUUAGGCUGGCGCGGCGUGGCGCGGAACGACAAAGCCUCGGCCGCCGCCGCCGCCGCGGGUGGGAGCCCCGCUCUCCGGCCGGCCGCUCGACUCUGGAGGGCGUAAAAGUUUUUCUCAGCUCGAGCACUCCCACAUCCAACACGUCCUCAGGUAAAGGUGGAAGUAAAUGGCCACGCUUUAUUGACAGAGGUAGGGUUUGUUUUUUAAUACUCCUUCUCACUUUAAGUCUCACCAGGGAGGGGUUUGGGAAGCGCUGCGUGUUUGGGAUACGUUUCGCGCUUCCCGGUCUCUCUACCUACAAGUCGAGAGUCCGCGACCGCUUAGUGAUGAGCGAGAAUUUUAGAGAGCGGAAUAAAGGGUUUCCCGAUGCCUGCCCCUCAGCCCCUCCAGCUCGAAUAAUGGAGAGACUGUCAAUGCACUCCUCGAGCCUUGUCCCAUUGUACGCGGCUGAUGGAGAGGACGCGACUGGGGUGGCAGGGGCUCCUUACCCUCGCCCCUCUGUGCAAAUAAAUGCGCAAAUGCGCUCAUAUCUGCUGGUCAGUUAAAAGGUGAAACGAACACAAUUAAAAUAGACCAAAAGAAAAGAAAGUCUUUCUAUAUACUCAGUUUUAUUCUCCAUACAGUCAGAGGCAGGGAUUUGAGUGACUAGAGGAAGCAGGCAGACAGAGGAGACAGGAGCGAGAAAGAGACCUCGGAGAGAGACUGAGAGAGUGAGAGAGGAGGCGAGAUCGAGUGCCAGGGAAUCAGAGGCCCGCUGGACGCCGGGUCUGCCGGCCCAACCGCUCUAGGACCCUGGACCGUGCGUCGUGGGCACCAGAAACGAGACCCAGCCAAAUCCUGCCCCACCAGGCAAGUAA